GCUGAAAGCAUCUAAGCGGGAAGCCUACCUCAAGAUAAGAUUUCCCUAGGAAUUUAUUCCUCUAAAGAGCCGUUCGAGACUAGGACGUUGAUAGGUUGGGUGUGGAAGCACGGUGACGUGUGAAGCUGACCAAUACUAAUUGCUCGUGAGGCUUGACUAUACAACACCCAAACAGUUG
rnacentral:rRNA from 1 species